rnacentral:lncRNA from 1 species
UAAAGACCAUAUUAUUAUAAAAGCAGUAAACUUUAUUACAAAACUGAAGGAUAAGCACUUAUCCUUCCCUCACUUCCUCAACCUUUCAUAUUCCAAAAACACAUAAAGGUGGGAAAAAAGCAUAGAUUUUUACAUAGCCGAAUAUUUUUCUUUUUUUUUUCUUUUUCUUUUUAGUAUCAUAUACUAUAUAGGAGAUUCAUUAUCCUCAAAAGAUUCUUCUCCACAGCACAACAGCAUAGAGAAAAAAAGGUUUAAAAAAAGAGGAACCCCUGCUAUACACAACCUUGAGUAGCCCCUGCUAUGGUGUUUUUCCUUUCUCAUACUCUUCUUUUUCACAUAGGCCAUUCCAAUCUUCAAACAUUGGGGCUGGUGUAUAUACAGCAGAAGCUUAUAAAUUUUUUACUGCUAGUAUUUAUAAGAUAGGAUUAGUUCAUAAAACACCACUAAUCAUCUUCAGGUUAAAUCAGCCAUUGAUCUAGUCUCUCCUCCAUUAAUUACCCACGGGUGUCCUGGAUUUAACAAAAAUAACAUCAAAAUCAGCAGGAGUUGACCAAAAGUCAAACUAAAAUGAAAGCCAAAAAGAAGGGCCAAAAAUACAUACUCAGGACUUGUUCAGCUGAAAACCUUCUAGAAACAUCCUUACAGAUCAUCUUCCUCAGCAAAUCCUUAGCUUCAGGCGAAACCGACCUAAAAUUCCUAGUGGGAAAUCUCAAAUUUGCCCUUAAAACAGCCUGAAAUGUCUCAGUUGUAGUUUCACCGUAAAAAGGAGGAACCCCAGAAAGCAUAAUAUAUAAAAUAACACCGGCGCUCCACACAUCGACUUUCUCAUUGUAUUCUUUCCCCAUUAAAACCUCCGGUGCCACGUAAUACGGCGUACCCACCACCCCACUCAUCAACCCCCCCUCACACCCAACAAACCACUCCGCAGAUCCAAAAUCAGCCAACUUCAACCUGUCCUGCGAAUCAAAAAGAACAUUAUCCGGCUUAAUAUCGCGGUGGGCCACCCCCAUUUUGUGACAGUGAUUAAUCGCGGAAAUUAAUUGGACCAGAAUGUUAGCGGCGGCGCGUUCGGAUAACGGCCCAGUGGAAACCCGCUCGUAAAGAUCGUUGUUAGGGCAGAGGUCGGUUACCAUGUGAAGGAAGUUUUCAUCUUCGUAGAUUUUGUAGAGGUGAAGAAUGUUUGGACUACCAGAAAGGAGCUGGAGAAUCUUGGGUUCCUUGUCGAGGCACUCACGGUCGGUGGAAUCGAGGAGGAGGGAUUUUUCGAUGGAUUUACAGGCGAAGGAAUGACCGGUGACCGGUGAGAAGCAGCGGUAGACGGUACCGAAUCUACCACGCCCGAUUUCUUCGCAGAUUUGGAAGUCGCUUUUCAAGGCUUGGCUCAUAUUAUUAUUUAGGCUUUUUUGUUU